ensembl:lncRNA
GACAGUUUUCCUGCCCGUUGGCUUGUUUUAACCAGUUUUCUACCUUCGGCUGAUUCUACCAGCAGACACUGAAAGGACUAAUAGUUCGAGUGAAAGUAGCAGUUCCUCCUUAAGGUCAGAGAUUGCAGCAUCUGAGGGCCUCUUCAAAAGAAGACAUAGUUGAUGAAGGCGUUCUGGAGCAGGACCAGAAAGACCACGACCAAGCAGCCUUGAGAUCUUAGGCAGCGUCUCCCUCAGGUCCCUCUCUAUCUCCCUACACAUCCACCAACCACUGGAACACAUCUCCAAAGUUCUGCCGGGCCAGCUCAGCUUCCCCUCAGAAGAAGUGCCACCACCUGCCAGAUGAAGGAGCCUUUUGAGAGGCAGCUGGCAUAGUGAUUGGACUGUACUUUGGUCUGUUCCAAUCCAGCUUCAGCUCCAGAGACGGCAGGCGGGACGAGUCAACGGAGGCCGGGUGGACGAAGGCAUGCAGCUGAGUACAAUCCAGAAAACAACAGAGGAGGAAUGCAGUGACCCAGGGCCAGAACAAAC